GUUUUCCACAAGGGCAGGAAGAGCUCUGAACUGCUGAGCUGUCACUCUGGCCCAUCCAAGCCCUGUUUGCCUCUCUUUUGAAGAGCUCAUGUUAUCUAAACUGACUUUGACCUCCUGACCUUCCUGCCUCCAUUUGCCAUGUGCAGCAGUCUGGUUUCUGUGCGGAGGGCCAUCCUACCUUCCCCGUUAGACUCCAUUCUUGAAGCUGUGUUGACUGUGUCUCCAAAGAGGCAGUAUCGGGGCAUCUUUAGCCCUACUACACCAGCACACACGGGACCUGGGAGGGGAAAAGAAAGGAACAGAGUCCAGGGAAGUCAGAGGAGCCUCCGGAGGCCUUCCGUGGUCAGACCUGUGUGAAUUCCAAUGCGCAAGCGCAGCUGUUCUUGGGGCCUAUGGCGGAUGCGGAAGGAGCGUACAGCAUCGAGCAGUGCAAGUGCCAUUCGGGCUACCUCUCGGGCAUGGAGCUGUCCAUUCCGCACUGGGAGUCCUGAUACCACCAUCGCCAGGCGGAUCUGUUGAAAGGGUGGCCGCUCCUGGGGAUCCUCUGCCCAGCACCUCUGCAUCAGCUGCCCCAGUUCCUCCAGGUGGCUCUGCAGAUCCAUGGAAGGUCGGAAUGGGGGCUGCUCGCCCCGAGUCACACGCUCAAUGAUCUCUGUGUGGAAGGGGCACG
rnacentral:lncRNA from 1 species